GUCCACUUGAUUGACUCAUUGGAGCUUGGGAAGUACCUCCCAUUACUAUUCCCUAUUAUCGGUUUAACAGAAAUCUAUUAAGGUGGAAUAAAUCGCUCAAUAUAAUUUAUAUCCUAUCUGGACAACAAACAAACAAAAGGACACCAGCAGCACAAACGGGAAAGGACGAAACGAAACUCCAGGGAACCUGGGACCUGAGACCAGGACCAACGAUGCUCAAUCGCACACAGCAAUCAGCCCAAAAAGGCGAGCGAUUUUUUUUGUAAUUUUUAUGACCCCAAAAGACGCAUCAAUUCCGAAGGGCAGAUCUCCGAACAAAGGACCCCAAUACACACCCAAUAAGAGAGGGCGGCCAAAGCAAACUUAUUUAAAGAUAGCUCACCCAAGCGUCCAAGCGUCCUCGACAUUCGUAAGCCUCCAGAGCGAGGGAAAGUGGGUCCUCGUCUCCGACUAUAAACUGUUCCAAGUUAUCUAAAGUGUUAAAUCACCUGAUGCCGUCAGCAUGAAAUUUACGCACAUAAAUCUUUCGGGACCAGCCCAAGUCCGAAACUGAGAAUGGGCCGCAAAAAAAACAUAAACCAAACAUAAGCAGGCCCCUUAAACCAACGAAAAACACGGCACGAACAACAACUCAAAAAGCUAGAAAAGCGAGAGUGGAUCGGUGGGUUCUAAAAAAAGGAGAUAAGUAUGGCAAAUAAACCUAUGAUU